rnacentral:rRNA from 1 species
CCUACGGGAGGCAGCAGUGGGGAAUAUUGGACAAUGGGGGGAACCCUGAUCCAGCCAUGCCGCGGGUGUGAAGAAGGCCCUCGGGUUGUAAAGCACUUUCAGUGAGGAAGAACGCCUGGUGGUUAAUACCCAUCAGGAAAGACAUCACUCACAGAAGAAGCACCGGCUAACUCCGUGCCAGCAGCCGCGGUAAUACGGAGGGUGCGAGCGUUAAUCGGAAUUACUGGGCGUAAAGCGCGCGUAGGUGGCUUGAUAAGCCGGUUGUGAAAGCCCCGGGCUCAACCUGGGAACGGCAUCCGGAACUGUCAAGCUAGAGUGCAGGAGAGGAAGGUAGAAUUCCCGGUGUAGCGGUGAAAUGCGUAGAGAUCGGGAGGAAUACCAGUGGCGAAGGCGGCCUUCUGGACUGACACUGACACUGAGGUGCGAAAGCGUGGGUAGCAAACAGGAUUAGAUACCCCAGUAGUC